UUCAUAUAUUGUAUUCUAUUGGCCCCAAAUUAAAUAUUAGUCAAGUACAAUAGAUGUUUGUGCCUUAGAGGAAAAUUGUCAUUAAUAAAUGACUCAAACACAGUCAAAAGAACUUGGAUGCAAUCACACAAAAUGGCAUGUCAAAACUUACUGAAUGGUAGCCCUUUUGGUGCAAGUGUCACUGGUGGGAAAAGCAGUAUGCAUCUUCUCUUUGCAUUGUGAUCAUGUUUCGUAAAGAUUAUUAUUGGUAUUGCAAUUAUUGUGAUUAUUAUUUUUCUUUGGUCCUUUUUUGUUCUGAUUUUAAAGUUCGGAAAAUGAAAUCUUUAUAUGAAAGUAAUCUGUUUAGUCUGUGUUUAGUAUCUUACGAACAUCGGUUGAUUUUGUCAAUACUGUGUGGGGGGGGUAUUUUUAAUACAGUAAUUAUAAAGUGUGUGACUGAUAUGUAUACUUUAUUUUUUCUUUUUAAUUCUGCUGUCAAACUUUAUGUGAAUAUAUGAUAAAUUGACUCUUUACCUGUAAACCUGAAAUGCAGUAAAUUUGUGGUGUACAGUUGCAUUGUGUGAAUGAUAAAACGGACGGACGAAGUGAUGACGAAGGGUGCCAAUACAUGACCCAUGCUGACAUCUGUGGUAGCUAUAAUUCUCACUUUUAAGGAAAAUAUCUUUUGAUUGUUUAUCACAUGAAAAAAAAAAAAAAAA
rnacentral:lncRNA from 1 species